AAGCAGGUUUAUUGAAAAAUCUGAGUUUCCUAACCCUGAAAUGAGGGUUCGUUUCACAUUUCUCGUUUCAUGAAGCGAGGUAACUUAACCCUGAGACAGAGGGGUAACUCUAGCCUGUUUCACAAAGAGGGGUAACUUCAACUCUCGGUCAGUUACCGCAGUAACAGACUCUAUGACUCUAACCUGGUCACCAGCAGGUUUAUCUGAGAAAACCUCCAGUUUCUCUCCGUCUCCGCCCUCUUUCAGCCACACGCUGUUUCAUUUCCUCAUUCAUUCAGUCAGUAAGCGAGCGAGUUUUGGCGUAGAACAGCUUUUAUUAACGAUCCAGUGGAUAAAGGAGCAGCAUUACUGCACAGAUCAUUAAAUAUUCGUCGGUAGAUUGUUAUCAGACCGAGCAUAAAUGUUCUCGCAUUUCCGGACAAUUAUCGGUUUGAGCGGUACCGUUUCAUAAUCGUUUCAAGUCCAUAAUCUACAUCAACAACCUAAUCCGUCCUUACAUUUACAUUACCAACCAGUCAUGCUCUCACAUCCAGCAGAUAUUGUGUGUUGCGCUGCGGUUCUUUGCAAAUGAAAGUUUUUAUAUGAUGUCGGAGAUGCAGAGUAAGACAACUGUAUGGAGGACAGUCAGAAAAGUUUUCCUGGCUCUGAAACAACUUUUACUCGUCAUUGUGGACACAAACCUGUCAGAGCAUCAAGGAGGAUCCACAGGAUUACAGGAUUUCCCAGUGUGAUUGGCUGCAUAGAUGCACACACAUCCCCAUCACAGCUCCCUCACAUCAUGAACAGGAAGUCCAUUCACAGCAUAAAUGUGCAGGUAGGCUACAGGUAGACUGACUACUGUUUCUAAAUGUUAAAGACUGCAUCAUAGUUCAACAUCUGUCAUUCUCUGCACUGUCCAGAUCAGAUGUGAUGCUGCAUACAUCAUUUCUAAUGUGGAGGCCACGUGGUCUGGGUCUGUUCAUGACUCCAGGAUUUAUGGAGAGUCUAACCUGAGCAACAGACUGCAGCGUGGUCAGCAGCAUAAAGAUUUUCACAAUAGAAUUCUCUUGUCUCCCUCCUUUAAUAUGCUCUGAUGUAUCCACUAUACAUUACAGGAGAGUUUGAUGGCCUUCUGCUGGGUGACAGGGGUUACCAUGCCAACCCAGGCUGAUGACCUCAUACCCUGACCCUGAACCAGGCCCCCAACAGAACUUCAACCGGACUCACUGCAGGACCAGAGCCCGGGUGGAGAUGACCAUAGGCCUGCUGAAAGCCCGUUUCCAGAGCCUACGUCUCCUCAGGGUGACCCCUGAGAGGGCCUGUGAUAUUACUGUGGCAUGUGUUGUUCUUCAUAAUAUUACCACUAUUAGAGGAGAGCAACACCCUGCCCUACAAACUGAAGACCCAGAUGAUGAGCCCAUCCACCUGCAGCUAUCCAGGACAGCAGAGCAGUCAGAGACACCGUAUGCAAGAAUCACUUUAGAGUUUAAGUCUCCAUCAUCACCACCACAGCAAAUAAAGACAUGAUACACAUUUCA